rnacentral:rRNA from 1 species
GUGGGGAAUUUUGGACAAUGGGCGCAAGCCUGAUCCAGCAAUGCCGCGUGCAGGAAGAAGGCCUUCGGGUUGUAAACUGCUUUUGUACGGAACGAAACGGCUCUGGUUAAUACCCGGGGCUAAUGACGGUACCGUAAGAAUAAGCACCGGCUAACUACGUGCCAGCAGCCGCGGUAAUACGUAGGGUGCAAGCGUUAAUCGGAAUUACUGGGCGUAAAGCGUGCGCAGGCGGUUUUGUAAGACAGGCGUGAAAUCCCCGGGCUCAACCUGGGAAUUGCGCUUGUGACUGCAAGGCUGGAGUGCGGCAGAGGGGGAUGGAAUUCCGCGUGUAGCAGUGAAAUGCGUAGAUAUGCGGAGGAACACCGAUGGCGAAGGCAAUCCCCUGGGCCUGCACUGACGCUCAUGCACGAAAGCGUGGGGAGCAAACAGGAUUAGAAACCCGUGUAGUCC